GACGAACGCUGGCGGCGUGCUUAACACAUGCAAGUCGAACGGAAAGGCCCUGCUUUUGUGGGGUGCUCGAGUGGCGAACGGGUGAGUAACACGUGAGUAACCUGCCCUUGACUUUGGGAUAACUUCAGGAAACUGGGGCUAAUACCGGAUAGGAGCUCCUGCUGCAUGGUGGGGGUUGGAAAGUUUCGGCGGUUGGGGAUGGACUCGCGGCUUAUCAGCUUGUUGGUGGGGUAGUGGCUUACCAAGGCUUUGACGGGUAGCCGGCCUGAGAGGGUGACCGGCCCACUUGGGGCUUGAGAACGGCCCAGGACGCUCGGGGGGGCGGCAGGGGGGAAAAUGGCCAAAGGGGCGGAAGCCUGAUGGAGCAACCCCGCGGGGGGGAUGACGGGCUUCGGGUUGGAAACCCGUUUCCCCGGGUGCGAAGCGGGGGGGGGGGGUAUGGGUAAAAAAACCCCCGCAAAACACG
rnacentral:rRNA from 1 species